CCGCCCCGCCCCGCCCCGCCACACUCGCGGAUCAUCACACGGUCAGGCCACCGCGCGUCACCGCCCCGGGCUCUGCUACAAAGUGCCGGGGUCCAGAUUCCUUUCAGGUGACUGGGUUGGGAGGAGAAGUCGCUCAGCGUAAUUGUCGGAGCCGAAAUAAACAGAGACUCCGCGGCCGGGCGGGACCUUACCCGGAAGUCCCCCAGAACAGCACUACCCUUCGCUGAAACCUCGCCCGCCCCCUCCAACCCAGAGACGAAAAGGGAAAGCAUCACGGCCAGAAACUGUUGGCACAACUCCACAGAUACUCUCCCGGGCCGAGCCAGACUCCAUAAGUCCUGCGCCUGGCCCCCGGGGAUUGCAGGGGCUGAGGAGAAGGGCAACACGGGGACCUUGAAGCGGGGUCGCGGCGGCCCCGGCCCCGCCCCAGCCCGGGCCAGGGAGUCCCGGCAGCGGCACCUCCCAGAAAGGGCGGAGCCGACGACGCCUUCUUCCUUCCUGACCUGCGCGCGCAGCCUGCUGCUGCGGUCAGCGCCUGCUCCUGCUCCUCCGCUCCUCCUGCGCGGGGUGCUGAAACAGCCCGGGGAAGUAGAGCCGCCUCCGGGGAGCCCAACCAGCCGAACGCCGCCGGUGUCCGCAGCCUUGCGCGGCCACAGCAUGAUCGCUCGCGGCCUGGCCCUUGGCCUCCUCCUGCUGCUACUGUGUCCAGCGCAGGUGUUUUCACAGUCCUGUGUUUGGUAUGGAGAGUGUGGAAUUGCAUAUGGGGACAAGAGGUACAAUUGCGAAUAUUCUGGCCCACCAAAACCAUUGCCAAAGGAUGGAUAUGACUUAGUGCAGGAACUCUGUCCAGGAUUCUUCUUUGGCAAUGUCAGUCUCUGUUGUGAUGUUCAGCAGCUUCAGACACUAAAAGACAACCUGCAGCUGCCUCUACAGUUUCUGUCCAGAUGUCCAUCCUGUUUUUAUAACCUGCUGAACCUGUUUUGUGAGCUGACAUGUAGCCCUCGACAGAGUCAGUUUUUGAAUGUUACAGCUACUGAAGAUUAUGUUGAUCCUGUUACAAACCAGACGAAAACAAAUGUGAAAGAGUUACAGUACUACGUCGGACAGAGUUUUGCCAAUGCAAUGUACAAUGCCUGCCGGGACGUGGAGGCCCCCUCAAGUAAUGACAAGGCCCUGGGACUCCUGUGUGGGAAGGACGCUGACGCCUGUAAUGCCACCAACUGGAUUGAAUACAUGUUCAAUAAGGACAAUGGACAGGCACCUUUUACCAUCACUCCUGUGUUUUCAGAUUUUCCAGUCCAUGGGAUGGAGCCCAUGAACAAUGCCACCAAAGGCUGUGACGAGUCUGUGGAUGAGGUCACAGCACCAUGUAGCUGCCAAGACUGCUCUAUUGUCUGUGGCCCCAAGCCCCAGCCCCCACCUCCUCCUGCUCCCUGGACGAUCCUUGGCUUGGACGCCAUGUAUGUCAUCAUGUGGAUCACCUACAUGGCGUUUUUGCUUGUGUUUUUUGGAGCAUUUUUUGCAGUGUGGUGCUACAGAAAACGGUAUUUUGUCUCCGAGUACACUCCCAUCGAUAGCAAUAUAGCUUUUUCUGUUAAUGCAAGUGACAAAGGAGAGGCGUCCUGCUGUGACCCUGUCAGCGCAGCAUUUGAGGGCUGCUUGAGGCGGCUGUUCACACGCUGGGGGUCUUUCUGCGUCCGAAACCCUGGCUGUGUCAUUUUCUUCUCGCUGGUCUUCAUUACUGCGUGUUCGUCAGGUCUGGUGUUUGUCUGGGUCACAACCAAUCCAGUUGACCUCUGGUCAGCCCCCAGCAGCCAGGCUCGCCUGGAAAAAGAGUACUUUGACCAGCACUUUGGGCCUUUCUUCCGGACGGAGCAGCUCAUCAUCCGGGCCCCUCUCACUGACAAACACACUUACCAGCCAUACCCUUCGGGAGCCGAUGUACCCUUUGGACCUCCGCUUGACAUACAGAUACUGCACCAGGUUCUUGACUUACAAAUAGCCAUCGAAAACAUUACUGCCUCUUCUAACAAUGAGACUGUGACACUUCAAGACAUCUGCUUGGCCCCUCUUUCACCGUAUAACACGAACUGCACCAUUUUGAGUGUGUUAAAUUACUUCCAGAACAGCCAUUCCGUGCUGGACCACAAGAAAGGGGACGACUUCUUUGUGUAUGCCGAUUACCACACGCACUUUCUGUACUGUGUACGGGCUCCUGCCUCUCUGAAUGAUACAAGUUUGCUCCAUGACCCUUGUCUGGGUACGUUUGGUGGACCAGUGUUCCCGUGGCUUGUGUUGGGAGGCUAUGAUGAUCAAAACUACAAUAACGCCACUGCCCUUGUGAUUACCUUCCCUGUCAAUAAUUACUAUAAUGAUACAGAGAAGCUCCAGAGGGCCCAGGCCUGGGAAAAAGAGUUUAUUAAUUUUGUGAAAAACUACAAGAAUCCCAAUCUGACCAUUUCCUUCACUGCUGAACGAAGUAUUGAAGAUGAACUACGUCGUGAAAGUGACAGUGAUGUCUUCACCGUUGUAAUUAGCUAUGCCAUCAUGUUUCUAUAUAUUUCCCUAGCCUUGGGGCACAUCAAAAGCUGUCGCAGGCUUCUGGUGGAUUCGAAGGUCUCACUAGGCAUCGCGGGCAUCUUGAUCGUGCUGAGCUCGGUGGCUUGCUCCUUGGGUGUCUUCAGCUACAUUGGGUUGCCCUUGACCCUCAUUGUGAUUGAAGUCAUCCCGUUCCUGGUGCUGGCUGUUGGAGUGGACAACAUCUUCAUUCUGGUGCAGGCCUACCAGAGAGAUGAACGUCUUCAAGGGGAAACCCUGGAUCAGCAGCUGGGCAGGGUCCUAGGAGAAGUGGCUCCCAGUAUGUUCCUGUCAUCCUUUUCUGAGACUGUAGCAUUUUUCUUAGGAGCAUUGUCCGUGAUGCCAGCCGUGCACACCUUCUCUCUCUUUGCGGGAUUGGCAGUCUUCAUUGACUUUCUUCUGCAGAUUACCUGUUUCGUGAGUCUCUUGGGGUUAGACAUUAAACGUCAAGAGAAAAAUCGGCUAGACAUCUUUUGCUGUGUCAGAGGUGCUGAAGAUGGAACAAGCGUCCAGGCCUCAGAGAGCUGUUUGUUUCGCUUCUUCAAAAACUCCUAUUCUCCACUUCUGCUAAAGGACUGGAUGAGACCAAUUGUGAUAGCAGUAUUUGUGGGUGUUCUGUCAUUCAGCAUCGCAGUCCUGAACAAAGUAGAUAUUGGAUUGGAUCAGUCUCUUUCGAUGCCAGAUGACUCCUACGUGGUGGAUUAUUUCAAAUCCAUCAGUCAGUACCUGCAUGCGGGUCCGCCUGUGUACUUUGUCCUGGAGGAAGGGCACGACUACACUUCUUCCAAGGGGCAGAACAUGGUGUGCGGCGGCAUGGGCUGCAACAAUGAUUCCCUGGUGCAGCAGAUAUUUAACGCGGCGCAGCUGGACAACUAUACCCGAAUAGGCUUCGCCCCCUCGUCCUGGAUCGACGAUUAUUUCGACUGGGUGAAGCCACAGUCGUCUUGCUGUCGAGUGGACAAUAUCACUGACCAGUUCUGCAAUGCUUCAGUGGUUGACCCUGCCUGCGUCCGCUGCAGGCCUCUGACUCCGGAAGGCAAACAGAGGCCUCAGGGGGGAGACUUCAUGAGAUUCCUGCCCAUGUUCCUUUCGGAUAACCCUAACCCCAAGUGUGGCAAAGGGGGACAUGCUGCCUAUAGUUCUGCAGUUAACAUCCUUGGCAAUGGCACCAGGGUCGGAGCCACGUACUUCAUGACCUACCACACCGUGCUGCAGACCUCUGCUGACUUUAUUGACGCUCUGAAGAAAGCCCGACUUAUAGCCAGUAAUGUCACCGAAACCAUGGGCAUUAACGGCAGUGCCUACCGAGUAUUUCCUUACAGUGUGUUUUAUGUCUUCUACGAACAGUACCUGACCAUCAUUGACGACACUAUCUUCAACCUCGGUGUGUCCCUGGGCGCGAUAUUUCUGGUGACCAUGGUCCUCCUGGGCUGUGAGCUCUGGUCUGCUGUCAUCAUGUGCGCCACCAUCGCCAUGGUCUUGGUCAACAUGUUUGGAGUUAUGUGGCUCUGGGGCAUCAGUCUGAACGCUGUAUCCUUGGUCAACCUGGUGAUGAGCUGUGGCAUCUCCGUGGAGUUCUGCAGCCACAUAACCAGAGCGUUCACGGUGAGCACGAAAGGCAGCCGCGUGGAGCGCGCGGAAGAGGCACUCGCCCACAUGGGCAGCUCCGUGAGUACCCUGAGCAGGGCCACGCCGGCAGAGUCGCACCACAAAGUAAUCCUCCUCAGUGACUGAAGAGUCUGGAUCCUGUACUUACAAAGCAGCUUCUAAGGAUUGCAAGCUUUCAGGCAAUUCAUGAAUUAGCUGCCACAUCGUGGACAGAACGGACAUUCUGUGGAACUGUACCUGUUGGUGUUCAGUGGAAUCACACUUACAAAAUUUGGAGGGAUUGUGGUGUUGGCUUUUGCCAAAUCUCAAAUUUUCCAGAUAUUCUACUUCAGGAUGUAUUUGGCCAUGGUCUUACUGGGAGCCACUCACGGAUUAAUAUUUCUCCCUGUCUUACUCAGUUACAUAGGGCCAUCAGUAAAUAAAGCCAAAAGUUGUGCCACUGAAGAGCGAUACAAAGGAACAGAGCGCGAACGGCUUCUAAAUUUCUAGCCCUCUCGCAGGGCAUCCUGACUGAACUGUGUCUAAGCGUCGGUCGGUUUACCACUGGACGGGUGCUGCAUUGGCAAGGCCAAGUUGAACACCGGAUGGUGCCAACCAUCGGUUGUUUGGCAGCAGCUUUGAACAUAGCGCCUGUGAACUCAGGAAUGCACAGUUGACUUGGGAAGCAGUAUUACUAGAUCUGGAGGCAACCACAGGACACUAAACUUCUCCCAGCUUCUUCAGGAAAGAAAGAAACCUCAUUCUUUGGCAAGCAGGAGGUGACACUAGAUGGCUGUGAAUGUGAUCCGCUCACUGACACUCUGUAAAGGCCAAUCAAUCAAUGCACUGUCUCUCCUUUUAGGAGUAAGCCAUCCCACAAGUUCUAUACCAUAUUUUUAGUGACAUUUGAGGUUGUAGAUACACUUUGUAACAUUUUAUAGUUUAAAGAGCUUUAUUAAUGCAAUAAAUUAACUUUGUACACAUUUUUAUAUAAAAAAAACAGCAAGUGAUUUCAGAAUGUUGUAGGCCUCAUUACAGCUUGGUCUCCAAAAAUCUGUUUGAAAAAAGCAACAUGUUCUUCACAGUGUUCCCCUAGAAAGAGAUUUAAUUGCCAGUUAGAUGUGGCAUGAAAUGAGGGACAAAGAAAGCAUCUCGUAGGUGUGUCUACUGGGUUUUAACUUAUUUUUCUUUAAUAAAAUACAUUGUUUUCCUAA